rnacentral:rRNA from 1 species
AGUGAGCGCUGGCGGUAGGCCUAACACAUGCGAGUCGAACGGCAGCACAGUAAGAGCUUGCUCUUACGGGUGGCGAGUGGCGGACGGGUGAGGAAUACAUCGGAAUCUUCUUUUUCGUGGGGGAUAACGUAGGGAAACUUACGCUAAUACAGCAUACGACCUACGGGUGAAAGCAGUGGAUCUUCGCACCUUGCGUGAUUGAAUGAGCCGAUGUCGGAUUAGCUAGUUGGCGGGGUAAAGGCCCACCAAGGCGACGAUCCGUAGCUGGUCUGAGAGGAUGAUCAGCCACACUGGAACUGAGACACGGUCCAGACUCCUACGGGAGGCAGCAGUGGGGAAUAUUGGACAAUGGGCGCAAGCCUGAUCCAGCCAUACCGCGUGGGUGAAGAAGGCCUUCGGGUUGUAAAGCCCUGUUGUUGGGAAAGAACAGCAGCAGGUUAAUACCCCGCUGUUUUGACGGUACCCAAAGAAUAAGCACCGGCUAACUUCGUG